ACAGCUAUAUCACGUUGAAACACCGGUUCUCAUACGUUCACCGAAGUUAAGCAACGUCAAGCCUGGUUAGUAAAUAGAUGGGUGGCCGCUUGGGAAUACCAGCUGCUGGA